UACGUAGGUGACGAGCGUUAUCCGGAAUUAUUGGGCGUAAAGCGCCCGCAGGCGGCUGUUCAAGUCUGACGUGAAAUCGCUCGGCUUAACUGGGCGGGGUCGUUGGAAACUGAAUAGCUUGAGGCAAGGAGAGGGGCGUGGAAUUCCCGGUGUAGUGGUGGAAUGCGUAGAUAGUCGGGAGGAACAUCAGUGGCGCAAGCGGCGCCCGCUGGCCUUAGCCUGACGC
rnacentral:rRNA from 1 species